GACCACGUGGCCUAAUGGAUAAAGCGUCUGACUUGGAACAGAAGACUGAGGGUUCGAGUCCCUUCGUGGUUG